rnacentral:rRNA from 1 species
GGUGCAUGGCCGUUCUUAGUUAGUGUAGUAAUUUGUCUGGUUAAUUUC